GUACACCCACUGAAAGUACACCCUUCGGUGCCUGGGCAGGUUCAUCAGGUCAGAAUACGAUACAUUAGAGGAACAAAUGAAACACGUUCCUAAUCUCAGUGGCCAUUGGCCAAAGGCAGAGGUCACUUCCUGUCCUUGUCUGUCUGAGUGAGCUGGGGCCUCUGCUCCCAUCACCUUUACUCCCGGCCCCAUGGAUGACUGAGCAGCCACUGUCUGGUGAACUGCUGGCCUCCAUAAUAACGAGAAAACGAUGAUGGGUUGGGCUGAAGCUCCGAGGCUUGCUUUCACUUCUGCCGGGGUUUAAUUGGUUGAAGCAGAUAAUAAUAAGGUCAAAAAAUCUAGCUUAAAGGGGGAAGUAGAAUCUUAGCACGUGUCCAGGAUUAGAACCUGAAAUAUUUGAGGAAAAAGCCUGAUGAAUACCAGCUAUGCUCAGAGGUCAGCUUUUAGAAAAUUCAAAGGAAAUGUAAAAUGUAAAGCACAGAAUAGUUCCCCACGCAGCUGUCUCAGUGCAGCGAGAUGCUGUGAGAGGACCUCACUCGGGUGGCAGCCACAGUUGCAGGAAUUACUCGGGAAUAUUGCCUUGUCGACAAACCGUGUGCCAUUCCAUGCUGCUGAGGCCAAGUUUGUUAUCUGGCCAGCCAUUCAGUCACUUUAAUUUUAACAGCCCUUAUUUGCAGUAAUGAGAGAAGCUGUGUGUGUAUGUACAGUCCUAACCAUUCUGAUUAUUCCGUGUCUAGUGUUCUAUUUUCUCCCUAAUAUCCUCAAUAUCUUCUAAGAAAAAAAUGUCGCUUUUCUCUGCCUGGAGGAAAUUGGCACAGUGAGUUGAAACUCUGUAUAUAUGAACAACUGGUGAUUUCGUCUUGAUUAAAUUGCCUGGAUGAUUCAAUUUAAAAGAUCAGUUCCUUAUGGUGUUACAUUAAAUUGACACCCAAGACACUUAGUCAUAGCACACUAACCAGACCCAGCAAUUAAGUCAAAACCCUGUAUCUACCAUAUGAAACAUUCUCACGUGUAAAGUAAGAAGUUAAAGCUGGAAUCCCUUCAUGUCGCCUCAAAUCACCACAGAAUUUAUACCAUGUAAUCUAAGUUUCUGAACAUAGAAACAUUUUUUUCACUUAUAAGCAUGAUUGCUUUGAGAGUAAUUAACCUCCCUAGUAGCCUAAUGUCAUACCUUAAACUAUAGCAGUAAAGGGAACAUAUUGAGCCUGUAGAACUUUUAUGGAUUUAUUAUUAAAAUUUCAAAUGCUUUUACUUUUAUUUUAUUGUUUGUGAGCUUCAAGCAUGAAUUUGUUGUUUCAAAUCCAUCUCCUAUCCUCUUUCCAGAGCCUCACCACUAUUUUUUCCUAUUUACUUCAUGUCCUGUUGUUAACCUGCAGUGUCUAAUUGGUGGCUCCGGUCCAUGCAUGAAUGUAGGGCUGUUCACUGGAGCUCGGCCAACCUACUACAAGUCAUAUCCCUCCCUUAGCACCUAUCCAUUGCCAGGAGCAACUGAACUAAGGGAAGGGUCUCAUGUGCUGCUCCCCCAUCUAUGUUACAAUGCUGACUGGCUUGAGCGUCUGCAGGUCUUAUGUGGGUAACCACAGCUGCUGUGAGCACACUUGCACAUCAGUCCUGUUUAGAUAGUCUGAGUGAGCAGCUGUCCAUUACCUCUUUGUCUGCCUGAUGGUUAGUUGGCAGUUUUAGUUGUCUGCGUCCUUACUCUUUUCUACUUCGGAUGGGUCUUUGAGUCUUUACACAAAAGCUCUUGGUCUAAAUGUCUGUGAGUAAUUCCUCUACACCCAAAGUAAAGUACACUCAUAAAUUGACUUAUAUUUUUAAUUAAAAAAACGGUUCUCAUGUAAAUGAUCUCUUGGUAGAUAUGAAAUACUUAAUAAAGAUUCAUGGCAAUGUUUGAAUCUUAUGGAAUUUAGUAGAGCACUGUUUGGUAAGCUGUUUGAACUUUGUAGAUAUUUUAAAAUAGCAAUAUUUUGGGUAUCAAGACAAGCUCCAAAUGCAAAUAUAUUACUUAAGUGUUUGAAGUACAUUGUUCCAAUUUUCUUUUUCUUAGCAUGUAUUAAUUGCACAGAAUGUUGGUCAUCAUUAUGAAAUUCUGUAUUUGUAGAUAAUCUCUUGAAGGCCUUUCCUUUUCGUCAAGAGUCUUUGUUCAAGUUUCACAUUGUUCAUUUGUAUGUAUGAUUUAUUUGGUUAUUUUCUCUAGAUUUCACUUUUAAGAGAACAGAUAAUGUACUUAUCUUUCCAAGCCUCAUUUAUUUUGUUUUAUGUUAUGACUUACAGCUCCAUCCAUUUACCUGAAAGCGACAUGAUUUCAUUCUUCUUGGGUAAAUGAUACUCCAUGUGUAUGUACAGCACACUUUGUCUACUUGUUUGUUGAUAAACACAUAGGCUGUUCCACAUCUUGGUCCUUGGAAACGAUGCUGCAAUAGACACAUGUACUUCUAAUACCUGCUGAUUUUCAUUCCUUUGUGUAUAUACCCAGAUGUGUGAGAGUGGAUCUAUGGCAGCUCUGUUUGUGGUUCGUUCUGAAGGAUGGGCAUUGUACUGUGAUUUAGUUCCAUAUGGCCUGGAGCAGUUUACAUUCCCACAACAGUACAACUAUAUUCUUUUUAUCCUCUGUCUUCACUAACACUUUUUAUUUGAUUCUGACUGGGCUGAUGCAUAAUCUCUAUAUAGCUUAGAUUUGCAUUUCUAUAAUAUUAAAGAUGCCAAAGAUGUUUUAAGGAAUUAUAGGUCAUGUGUAAUUAGUUCAAGAAUUGUCUAUGCAGUGGUAUGAACAAUAAUUGAUUAUAUUAUUCAUUCACCCGGUGUUAAAUUUUUAAAUUUCUGGAUGCCAUUUUUAUAUUAAUACUCUGUCACAUAAAUAGCUGUUGAAAGC
rnacentral:lncRNA from 1 species